CAAUAUACAACCUGAAAAGAAAUUGACUUUAACUUUUACAGCACAUAGUUCCAGCUAGAAGAUUCCAUGACUGAACACAUACCAUGAUUAAACACAUAACUCAAAAUUCCCUCUUUAAUUAGAUUCAUUAAUCUACAAAGAAAGAGCUAACAGCGGGGCCAUAAUCCCCUGGCUUAAUGUCAUUCAAUGACCUAAAAAUAAAACAAAACCACAAAGACCCUCAAGGGUUUCCUCAAGCCAAUAUAAAGCCAGGACCAAAACUACAGGGCCACAAAGUGGAAACACAGUUACUAGUACAACUGUUGCUAGCCAGUGGUCUAAAUGAGUUACUCUAGGUUGCAGUCAACACAAGCUAAGGACACUCACUACAUGUAUAUACUACAACAACACAGCAUUGGAACACACCCCUCACCCCGGAGAUAAAGGAAGUCAGCUCCACAACUUCUAUAUACAACUGUUGCUAGCCAGUGGUCAGUCAGUGUAAAUGAGUUACUCCAGGUUGCAAGCUAAGGAUACCACUACCAACACAGCAUUGAAACACACACCCUCCCAAGAGAAAGAUCGCUAAAUGAAUUCACGUACCUUGAAGCCUUUUGUGUGCAGUAACGAUCAUCCUGGAAUAAUGGACACGACCUCAACACAACCAUCGAUAGAGCUAGAGCUAGAGCCAGAGCCAUCCAAAGAAGCAGAAGAUGGAUC